rnacentral:rRNA from 1 species
AAUAUUGGACAAUGGGCGAAAGCCUGAUCCAGCCAUGCCGCGUGUGUGAAGAAGGUCUUCGGAUUGUAAAGCACUUUAAGUUGGGAUGAAGGGCAGUAAGUUAAUACCUUGCUGUUUUGACGUUACCGACAGAAUAAGCACCGGCUAACUUCUUGCCAGCAGCCGCGGUAAUACGAAGGGUGCAAGCGUUAAUCGGAAUUACCGGACGUAAACGGAGAGUAGGUGGUUCGUUAAGUUGGAAGUGAAAGACCCGGGCUUAACCUGGGAAUUGCCUUCAAAACUGACGAGCUAGAGUACGGUAGAGGGUAGUGGAAUUUCCUGUGUAGCGGUGAAAUGCGUAGAUAUAGGAAGGAACAUCAGUGGCGAAGGCGACUACCUGGACUGAUACUGACACUGAGGUGCGAAAGCGUGGGGAGCAAACAGG